AAAAUAUUCCCUCCGUUUCAUAUUAAGUGCCGAAAUAUUACAUGUAUUUAGACGAUUUUUAAAUAUAGAUACAUUCAUACUUGAGCAAAUUUGAGUCAUUUAAUAUGAAACGGAGGGAGUACAAA
rnacentral:pre_miRNA from 1 species